rnacentral:rRNA from 1 species
UCCGUAGGGUGCAAGCGUUAUCCGGAAUUAUUGGGCGUAAAGAGCUCGUAGGCGGUUUGUCGCGUCUGCUGUGAAAACUGGAGGCUCAACCUCCAGCCUGCAGUGGGUACGGGCAGACUAGAGUGCGGUAGGGGAGAUUGGAAUUCCUGGUGUAGCGGUGGAAUGCGCAGAUAUCAGGAGGAACACCGAUGGCGAAGGCAGAUCUCUGGGCCGUAACUGACGCUGAGGAGCGAAAGCAUGGGGAGCGAACAGG